CUUCUCUACUCUGCCCCCCAACUUGAGCCUUAGUAAAUGCCAUGUCCUUUAAGAUACAUUUCUAAGCCUGCUUCUGCUGUCUUCCCUAUUCAAACCAAUGUAAAUGAUCUCUACAGCCUUUCUCCUUAUACAGCACAUUGUUUGCAGUUCCAUCUGGCAACUGAAAAGCUUUUCUUGAUCCACCAGUUGUUUUUGUCAAACCCUUUAGAAUACAAGUUCCAGGCUGGAAGGAACUAGAUUCUAUUAACUGUAUCCAUUGUGAUGUCUGGUUCAGGGACUUGUACUUUAUAGGCAUUAAGAAAUUUGUAGUACGACUGAAGUGAAUCCCAGGAUAAAAUAUUUAAGCCAGUGGAUAGUAUGACUUCCUAAAACUUCUUAGCAUUUUGUUUUUACAGACAUUAAUUCUGAUUCUAUUUGCAUAUUAUUUACCUGAGUCUAAUAUCUCAUAUCUUCUGAUUCUUUUCAAACAGGGAAUUCUAAGUUUCCCUUCAACAACAAAGAAUGUAACCUGGACUCCACAUAUCUUGCAGGCAGUGGGCAUCACUGAACCGUGUGAGGAAUGAGAGAGGGUGGAACAAAUUCAUUGUUACCAAGAGCAGCAACUGGUGAAGAUGUCAAGGCCUACUGGGCAAGCUAGAAUGACAAGAUUGUUGAAUCAACAGAGUGGUACAAAAAAGAAUAACUGCCGGGUGCAGUGGCUCAGGCCUGUAAUCCCAGCAGUUUGGGAUGCCGAAGCAGGAAGAUCACUUGAGCUUAGGAGUUUGAGACCAGCCUGGGCAACAUAGUGAGACCUCCUUUCCACUAAAAAUUUGAAAAAGUAGCCAAGCGUGGUGGCACGUGUCUGAAGUCCCAGCUACUUGGGAGGCUGAGGCCAGAAGAUCGCUUGAGCCUGAGAGACUGGGCUAUACUGUGCUAUGAUUAUGCUACUGUAUCCCAGCCUGGGUGACAGAGUGAGACCCUGUCUCCAAAAAUAAAAAUAAAAAAAAUAAAAAAUAUAUAGAAAUUAUUUUAUACAUUUAUAAACAAAUUUAUUAUUUAUAGAAAUAUGAUAUAGUUUGUGAAAGAUCCUCAGCAUAUUUCAAAAAUAUUUACUGAUCGCAUUUGACUCUUUGGAAAUAUAAAAUCCUAUUUCUAUGAAUACAUAAUGUUGCAUAUUCUUAAUAUCCAUCAGAGUUUAUGCCCCAAAUGUGUAAAUAUCACUUUCUAAUAACUGUAUUUGAUUAUUAUGACUACAGAACCCUUUAUCUCUUUAAUGAGUUACUGUUAAUAUCAUUAGAUAUUACCAAUAUGCACCUUAAAAACGUAAAAUGCUCAUGUAUCCAUUUCAACUGAAAAAAUAGAUUAAAAAUAGAAGUAAAUGCUUUGAACACUUAUUUGUGCCAUGCUUUAUGCUCCAUAAGGUCACUAUGGACAGUGUCUAAAGUUGCACAAUGUGGAAUGUGAAGAAUGAGCCUAGGUAUUUGGCCCUUAGUAAUUCUAUACUACAAAUAAUUUUUGGUUCUGUGUGGUGCAACGAACAACACAAAUCCUAUUAAUUAUAUCAAAAUUAGUAUUUGUUUAGCAAAUAUUUCUUCAUUUCUUAGAUGUUAUGAGAUUACAUACUAGAACACUGACUUUGAAAACUGUGCUAUAAUUAUAAUUGGUUUAGUUAAUAUAUCACUAUUAUUUUUAUUGUUAUUAUUUGAAAUACCAGCUAUUGUGACUACAGUGUUUUGCUUGGAACAUUAGUGAUUUCCCUAUCAAGAACAGCACUUGGAGUAGAUUUCUAACGAUUACACCUGAAUUUCAACAUAUUUAUAUUUUGUCAUUUAUAAUUAACAACUAAUAUCUGAAAGAAAGCUCAUCUAAUCUAGGUCAUGACUAUUUUUGAUGCAUAUAAUAUUUUGUACUUCUUUGUGGUUUAAGAAAAGUUUCAGGCUAGAAUAUGAGUUAAAAGCAUAUUCCAUUUAGUGUUUUCAUUUUUUUCAACAGGGGCUUCAGAGUUAAACAUAGAAGACAGAUGAUGUUAUUAUUUCUUUUCCAUGUUACAGAAGUUACUGAUUGAGCUGAGUGUGCGUGAGAAAAACUAGGAAUAAACUUUAGUUUAAGAAAAUAAAAUUGAUAUCAUAGAACAAAAUAGUUUUUACUAGUGAGCUGAAGGUAUUUCAUCUAUGUUUCUUCUGUGGACUCCCCCCUCAGACUGCAGGAGUAAAACUCACCAUGAAAUUCAAAGAUCACUUUAAAUUGUGUUAUGAUGUAACAGGAUCUCUUUACAUCUGUCAUUUAAAACUUAGAAGUGAUAAAUCUUUUGUUUCAAUUAUAUGUCUAAGUUGAGUUUGUAUAGCACAAACACAUAGCAAGUACUCUUUCUUUAGUAUCAUUAAAAGUUGACAAAAUUAUUUCUGGCAUAAAAAACUUGUUUUAAUGAUAAGCCUCUCAAGUUAUAUAUGCUUGAAAAAACUGUAGAUUUUUAAAAAUUCAAUAACAAACUGAGAAAGUACAAAAAUCAGCAACAGACUCAAAUCAAAAUCUGUCAGAAAUAUUGAUUACAGUGAAAUAUUUUAUUGAGCUACUUUCAAGGAUGAGUUUUCAGUAAAAAUCGCUAAUUUAACCUUUAAUCAGUAAUAGGAUAAAAUGAUUUAAUAAAGAAAAAUCUAAAAGUGGUUGACCCUUUCACACGUAUGUUUUGGAUAUAGUUAAUACAUUCAGCUUUAUGGGUUUUUAUAGUUACUACAAUAUUUAAUAAUAAAAAUACGUGGUAAAUAUUUCUAGCAAGAUCUAAAUUACACUAAAUUAUAAUUUUAAUGUUCUAACCUCAAUUUUCUUGACCGCUGUUAAUAUGAAGCUAUGAAAUUUCAUAAUUCUUAUAAUAGCCAAGUUCAUCCAGUAGUCUUGAAUUACUCUUAGUUAUGAUUCUGUUGAUAAACAAAAUUUGAAAUCUGAAUUAUAUUCAGCUCUAACAAGUG
rnacentral:lncRNA from 10 species